CCACCAGCAUCUUUUGACUGUUCAACGGGUUUCCAUCCAUCAGCUAGCCUCCAAGAUCCAUGUGGGGUGCGUGGUAUCCAUGCACAGGGAGCUCCAGAGAGCUCAUGAGCUCUCUCGCCCUCCCCUCUCGCAUAUCUUCUCUCUCCCGAGCUACUCUCGGCCUUAUGCUCUUCCCUCCACCUUUAGCAAUCCCAGGAAGCAAGCAGCUCCUCCCCUGGGGCUCUCCAUCGCCGGCAAUGGCCGAAGUGUCGCCCCGGCCAUGCCCGAGCCCGAGAUCCCCUAGGCCUCCCACUC
rnacentral:lncRNA from 1 species